UACGUAGGGGGCAAGCGUUGUCCGGAAUUAUUGGGCGUAAAGAGCGUGUAGGCGGUCCGGUAAGUCAGCUGUGAAAGUCAAGGGCUCAACCCUUGAAAGCCGGUUGAUACUGUCGGGCUAGAGUCCGGAAGAGGCGAGUGGAAUUCCUGGUGUAGCGGUGGAAUGCGCAGAUAUCAGGAGGAACACCAAUAGCGAAGGCAGCUCGCUGGGACGUUACUGACACUGAGGCGCGAAAGCGUGGGGAGCGAACAGG
rnacentral:rRNA from 1 species